AUCUCUGGACGGAGGCCAAUCUCCCGCAGCAUCCGGAAGGAAGCUGCUGUAGCGGGGACUGCAGGGCGCUAAUCUGACUUUCUGCUGCGUUCCCGGGGUCUGCAGCCUAGGACGCCACCAGAGCCCGAGAACCCGGCGGGGG
ensembl:misc_RNA Gm27941 predicted gene, 27941